rnacentral:rRNA from 1 species
UUGAACGCUGGCGGUAUGCUUUACACAUGCAAGUCGAACGGCAGCACGGACUUCGGUCUGGUGGCGAGUGGCGAACGGGUGAGUAAUGUAUCGGAACGUGCCCAGUAGUGGGGGAUAACUACUCGAAAGAGUGGCUAAUACCGCAUGAGGUCUCUGGAUGAAAGCGGGGGACCGUAAGGCCUCGCGCUACUGGAGCGGCCGAUAUCAGAUUAGGUAGUUGGUAGGGUAAGAGCCUACCAAGCCAACGAUCUGUAGCUGGUCUGAGAGGACGACCAGCCACACUGGGACUGAGACACGGCCCAGACUCCUACGGGAGGCAGCAGUGGGGAAUUUUGGACAAUGGACGCAAGUCUGAUCCAGCAAUACCGCGUGCAGGACGAAGGCCUUCGGGUUGUAAACUGCUUUUGUACGGAACGAAAAGCCUUCUUCUAAUACAGGGAGGUCAUGACGGUACCGUAAGAAUAAGCACCGGCUAACUACGUGCCAGCAGCCGCGGUAAUACGUAGGGUGCAAGCGUUAAUCGGAAUUACUGGGCGUAAAGCGUGCGCAGGCGGUUGUGUAAGACAGGUGUGAAAUCCCCGAGCUCAACUUGGGAAUUGCACUUGUGACUGCACAGCUAGAGUACGGCAGAGGGGAUGGAAUUCGCGUGUAGCAGUGAAAUGCGUAAAAUAUGCGGAGGAACACGAUGGCGAAGCAAUCCCUGGGCCUGUACUGACGCUCAUGCACGAAAGCGUGGGGAGCAAAAGGAAUAAAAACCCUGUAGUCAACGCCCUAAACAAUGUCAACUGGUUGUUGGAAUAACUCCUCAAUAACGAAGCUAACGCGUGAAUGACCGCCUGGGAGAUCGGCGCAGGUGAAACCAAAGAAUGACGGAACGCACAGCGUGAAGAGUCUUAUCGAG